UUCCUGUUUUUCAUGUGGCUGUAAAGCCUGUGAAAUUAUGGCCUCCAGCUGCACCCAAUAUACUAUAUCAUUUUCAUUAUUUGAAUUAUCAAUAUGAAGGUUAUAUAGCAAUUCGACCUGCGACAUUUGAUCAUGUUGGACCUGUUUUCUUAAUGGUAUAUUUGAACUCAGGAUCUGUGUUAUAGAAUCUAUCAUGCUGGUUAUAAGGUCCUUCUUACAUUACUGAAUGCGAGGUUACAUUAGUGAGCUAAACUUUCACACAAUGCCUAUAUGUUACACAAUCUUGCUCAUGUGGAGGUGUGGAGCAGAACGCCAUUGAUUGGCAUGGGAUAAUGUUCUCAGAGGCUGGCUUUGCUUGGAUUCAGGUAAUCAGGCUACGCUUUUACCUCAAAGGCAUGAAAUUCACCGAAAGUAGAACAAAUAUUAAGUCAAGGUACCAACAUUGGUGGGUCGGCUGAUGGGUCAAAACGUGUUUGGAUUGCAGCAGGCACAUCAUUUAGCAUGUCAGGAAAGCAAGAGGGUUCCUUGUUGUGUUGAUGCACGUUGAUGUGACAACAGCAACUUAGAUUUGAUAUGUCGUUUAGAUUAAGAC